AUUCUAUUAUCUAUUUUUCUUUAUUCUCUUAGUAUUCUUUGUUGAAGAAGCAGCAAUGCACUACUGGGAGCUAACUGAACGAAUGGAGUGAGCCAGUAACAUCAGACAUAUAUCUGCAGCCACCAAUCAGCAGCUGUUGAGGCUCAGGCUACCUAGACUUCAAUGGAGCGUGCUUUACGGACGAAAACCUCACUUAACGCUUGUGCGUUAUUCCGACACCGUGUUAGAGCUACAGCACUAAACCCAAAGAACUGGAAAUGGACCCUGCUGACUUCUCAAGGCGAACCCUGCUACAUAUGUGCCCCUAAUUGGCAUCAACAGAUAAAUGCAAAACAAUGCUGUUGAUACUAAUAUAACGACUGGGCUAUCUUCUUCUGCAGCAAGCCCGGAUUGGCUCCUUUCAAUUAGGGAACUAGUGGGUGGAGUUGUUUUUUUGAAAAACAAUUGAAGCAAGCAAUGUUGUUUAAAAAAUGUUUAGACUUGGCUAGUAUGUUAUUUUAUAGCAAAACAAUAUGUCUGUUCAUGCAUCGCUUGUAAUUAUAAGGUGUUUAGUGUCCUUUUAAAUACAUUGAAGCAAUGUGUGUACUGUACCUGAAUGAAGGAAUUAGUUUAUUAAACAAGGAAAUGCCCUGCAGUGAUGUGUGUAAUAUACAGUGCAGUACUCAUUUUGUAGCAUUGUAUAUAAUACACAGGGGGUAUAUAGCAAUACUUUAAAGCAUGCAUCCAAUAAAGAGGCAUUAGAUAGACGCAAAUGAUAGAGGAAUGAUCUGCAGAAUUGUCUGUGUGUGUAAUAAACAGUGAUACUUUACUACAAGUUAAAGGGACAAACUACUCCAGAAUUGUUAAUGUUUAAUAGAAUAGAUAAUCCCUUUAUUACCCAUUCUCUAGUUUUGCAUA